rnacentral:rRNA from 1 species
AGUUCGGAUCGGAGUCUGNAACCCGACUCCGUGAAGCUGGAUUCGCUAGUAAUCGCGCAUCAGCCAUGGCGCGGUGAAUACGUUCCCGGGCCUUGUACACACCGCCCGUCAAGCCAUGGGAGCCGGGGGCGCCUGAAGUCCGGGACCGCGAGGGGGAGCUGUCGAAGGCGGGGCCGGUGACCGGGGUGAAGUCGUAACAAGGUAUC